UGGCAAACAAGAGAUUUAAAAAUUGAAGUUUACUAAAGAUAAGAAGACUUUGAAACAGAUUUAAAGUUGUUAAUUUAGUUUUUCAGUGACAGCUGUCUGGGAAGUAAUUACUAUUAUGUUAACAAGCGCAAUAUCUUGGCCAAUCAACAUUCCACUGAGCGCCUGACGUGCAUACAUGAUACUGCAACUUCAAUAAUCAUUUCUCCUAUUCAUACAUGCAUUAAGGUUGGUCAGCGGCAGAUAGCUUCAGAAAAGUGAUGUAAUUUCUUCAGCUUUGACGACCAAGCCAGCUUUAUGACUGACGUAUCAACAUUCACGCUUUGCUUGAUGGACGGAUGACCUGUAACCUCGUUCGAUGCCCUUGAACUAAGACCUCUCAUCACUGUCAUUCACCACCGAAGCUGCCGUUAACAAACAAUGACAAGCAAAUUAAGCCAAAGCCCAGGGAUUCCUGAGAAUUUGGUGACCGUUAGAGUUUCAAUUAAUGAUAAGACACACGCUUGUAUAUGCAUGAUUUUUAUAUACUAUAUGUAUAACGGAAAGUCCACAGAAAGGAGAUUUUAGGAUUUUAAAUAAUAUUUUAUCGUUUUUUUUUUUAUAAAACAAAAUAACCUGGAAAUUAUAUUUAAAAAUUUUAAAAUUUUAUUUCGAAUAAAUGUUUCUUUUGGU